rnacentral:rRNA from 1 species
AUUGAACGCUGGCGGCAUGCUUUACACAUGCAAGUCGAACGGUAACAGGCCGCAAGGUGCUGACGAGUGGCGAACGGGUGAGUAAUGCAUCGGAACGUGCCCAGUCGUGGGGGAUAACGCAGCGAAAGCUGCGCUAAUACCGCAUACGAUCUAUGGAUGAAAGCGGGGGACCGUAAGGCCUCGCGCGAUUGGAGCGGCCGAUGUCAGAUUAGGUAGUUGGUGGGGUAAAGGCUCACCAAGCCAACGAUCUGUAGCUGGUCUGAGAGGACGACCAGCCACACUGGGACGGAGACACGGCCCAGAAUCCUACGGGAGGCAGCAGUGGGGAAUUUUGGACAAUGGGCGCAAGCCUGAUCCAGCAAUGCCGCGUGCAGGAAGAAGGCCUUCGGGUUGUAAACUGCUUUUGUACGGAACGAAACGGUCCUGGUUAAUACCUGGGGCUAAUGACGGUACCGUAAGAAUAAGCACCGGCUAACUACGUGCCAGCCGCCGCAGUAA